rnacentral:misc_RNA from 1 species
GAUGAAGAACGUAGCGAAAUGCGAUAAGUAAUGUGAAUUGCAGAAUUCAGUGAAUCAUCGAAUCUUUGAACGCAUCUUGCGCUCCUUGGUAUUCUGAGGUGCAUGCCUGUUUGAGUGUCAUUAAAUUCUCAACUACACUGACUUUGAAUUGGUGUGGCUUGGAUUUGGGGGGAAAAUUGUUGUGGGCUUUUUGUAUAGUCUGCUCCCCUGAAAUUGAUUAGCGGUACCUUUGUGGAACUGUCUACAGGUGUGAUAAUUAUCUACAUCUUAGACAUCUGCUGGAAUGCUGCUUUCUAAACCUUACUUGUAUUGACAAUCUUGACCUCAAAUCAGGUAGGACUACCCGCUGAACUUAAGCAUAUCAAUAAGCGGAGGA